rnacentral:rRNA from 1 species
AUUGAACGCUGGCGGCAGGCCUAACACAUGCAAGUCGAGCGGAUGGGGGUAGCUUGCUAUCUGAUUCAGCGGCGGACGGGUGAGUAAUGCCUAGGAAUCUGCCUGGUAGUGGGGGACAACGUUUCGAAAGGAACGCUAAUACCGCAUACGUCCUACGGGAGAAAGUGGGGGAUCUUCGGACCUCACGCUAUCAGAUGAGCCCAGGUACGAUUAGCUAGUUGGUGAGGUAAAGGCUCACCAAGGCGACGAUCGUUAACCGGUCUGAGAGGAUGAUCAGUCAUACUGGAACUGAGACACGGUCCAGACUCCUACGGGAGGCAGCAGUGGGGAAUAUUGGACAAUGGGCGAAAGCCUGAUCCAGCCAUGCCGCGUGUGUGAAGAAGGUCUUCGGAUUGUAAAGCACUUUAAGUUGGGAGGAAGGGCAGUAAGUUAAUACCUUGCUGUUUUGACGUUACCGACAGAAUAAGCACCGGCUAACUUCGUGCCAGCCGCCGCAGUAAAAC